GGAACACGGUGAAAUUCCGUGGCGGUCCCGCCGCUGUAAUCGGGGACACGGACCACAGGGGCGUCCGAGCCCCAGCCACUGGCGAUAAGCCGGGAAGGCGUGGUUUCGUGGCUGAUCCGAGAGCCAGAAGAC
rnacentral:ncRNA from 2 species